AAGAGUGAGGGAUCAAUAUAGCCUCGGUUUCAAUACAGCCUUGGUUUCAGAGUGCAGAAGUUCAGAGUAGUAAGGGAAGGAGUUGGGCCUGUUCUCUAAAACAACGCACCCUCAAGGGGCCCAUAACAGCUUUUGAGAGCCAUGUGUGUCUUGCAGUGUUUGAACAUAAGCAUUGUGCCCAUGUUGAGUGACAAGUCAGACUCUGGUAUUCAAUCCCCUUUCGGAUUCCCUCUUCCCGGCAUAUCACCAGCUCUUCUAUUCAUCAUGAAUCUCAACCGCCUCAGAGUUUAUCAGUAUCUUCCAGGCUUCACCUCUUUUCCCACCCAGUCCAGAUCUUUGGUCAGUCAUUUCAAUCACAUUUUUGUUAAUAUGCUUGUACUUACUCUGUAAAAAUCACACUCCUGGAUCAUGCCAGCUAUCUACCUUCUCUAGUCUCCCAUUCUAAACCAGGAUAAAAGAAAUCACCCAAUCCAGCACACUUGAACUUGUGAGUGGACACCAUUUUAGGUUAGUCUAGGCCAUGAACCGUAUUCUGUGGGAAUUAUAGUUUCCACACCCCUACUCUGUAUCCACAGUCCCCAGGGCCAUGUUUGUCAUGUGUGACCCCUGGCACUCUAGCUGCAGUUUAUUGAACUGAAAGUGGAUUCCUGAUCUAAGCUGUGUUAAGCAGAUGUUCUCGUCUAAAAAUCUGGGAUUAGAGCUGAGAGAUUAUGGUUCUAACUGGACUGGUUUCUUAAGCAAAAGAGACAUAGACUCAGGAGCUAUGGUACAUCCACCUGCUAUGAUGAAGGAGAAAAGGAAAAAGACCAUCUGGGGACACAGAAUGAAGCAUGGAGAGGCAGAGACCAGAAAUGGUCAAUGUGCUAAGAGGAUAUGAGAUUGAAACUGCGGGCACCCAGCUCUCCCUGCCACAGGACAGAGAAUGCAGCCGAGGCAUAAAGGGAAGCAGAGCUCUGAGAAAUGGAAUAAGAGCGAUCUGAUGACAUUGUCUGAACCCUUGAGGUCAGCCUCGCCUGAGAGUUUGGAAAAUGCUGUUUCGGAUCAGAAAUCUGCAGUAUUAAGGAAGGGGGAAAGCCUUUCUAUUCAGACUGGAUCCAGAGAAAAGAAGUACAUCCUUGAUGGCCAGCCUGGAAGCGCUGGCUAGAAUCAAUGCCCCUUCCUGCUCAAAUCAAGGAGGGUUUUGGAUUUAGAAACAGCACAGAAAACAGGCCUCUCAUCCUACUGCCUCAUCCGCAGUCACUGCGCACUGGCAUGAAGAAUCCUUACCCUCCACCACCCUGUCCUGUCAGCAAGUUUUAGUGCCCUCUCUGUGUCCUUCCUUCUGAUUCCCCUGUCCUCUUGCCCUGAUGCCUCCCCAAAUGUUCAUGCUAUGAAAGAACAAGUUCUGCCUGUAGACCUGGAUUGCCAUCAGAGAACCAGUCUGAUCCCUCCCUGUGUCCACCCUUUCUAUGGGUGAAAGAAGGUCUUCCCUCCUAUGGGAGUGGCAGAGAUGCAGGAAAGGGGCUACAAGCUGGGCCCAUGUCCCUUGAAGACAGCUGGAGAGCUGGGGCUGGAUACCAGCAUUUUGUUCCACAUCCAGCAAGUUAGGCCUCAGGAACACUCUGGGAGCCUGGGGCAAAGGGGUCCAGCCUGCUGUUAAAGUCUGGCUCUUCUCUGCACCAAGGUAAAUAUCUGAAUUUGGGAGGGAGCUUGACCAUGUAGGGGACAAUACAAGUUGGGAGAGAAAGAGUGGGUAGGAAACCAGCUUCUAUCUUCGUCUUCAAGAUCUUGGAGAGCAGGAAAACCCAUCCUAAAUGGUUCUACUCCUUGAACAGCUUGGCUAGGCAGAUGGAGGAUGCGGUCCUUGGAUUCUGAGUGCAGGGGAAACAAAGGUUAGUCAUAGACUGUAGCUUGGGUGAUAGUGAAGGAAGAACAGACUGUUCAGAAUUGACUGAAGUUAGCAGGGGAGAAAUCUCCAAUAAGACUAUGUGUAUGUCCAUAUGUCACCUGCGUGGUAUGGGGUUUGGCCUAGGCUGCCUUGUGGAUCCUGAGGUGUCUGUCUGUCUGUCGAUGCUAUGUCUGUGUGGAGGGCAGGGGUUGCAGUUCAUAAAGGGCAGAUAGAAUGUGUUUUGGCAAAAUUCUGCCCUCUGUCCAGAGAGGUACUACCUGACGGUCCUUGGGGAGGGGAUGGAUAAUGAACUCGUGGCUGGAAUUCUGAUAGAGGAAAGAAGGUCUCGCCAUUGACCUUCUGUGGUGAGAGUACAAGCCAGUGAGUGUGCUUUGCUUCUGGAGGUGUCAGCCACAGAAUAGUGCCCUUGGAACAGAUCACUGGUUUUCCAACCUUCUGAAAAAUCGGUGGAAUACAUUAUUCUAACAAAAAUGUUAGGAUGAAGCACAAAAUGUAAGAGAAAAGCAGAACUGCUGUGACUGAAGCCAGAAAAAGAGGGGGUGGAGUUUGUCUUGCUUGAUCCUCCCCUAAUACUCCCUAGAGGGGCUCCAAGAAAGCCCUUUGAAAUUACUGACCUAGAAGAUAGAGAACAGAGUUCCAGCACGUGUAUGAGGGGGGAUCUGAGAUCAUCCUGUUCAGGAGCCUGAGAAGUCAGGAAAGGUCUUUCAUGAGUCUCUUGACCAAACUGAUGGCUUUGCCUUGACAUCAUAGAAUGGGCCCCAUUUGGCCAGAGAAUCAAACUCCAGAAGACCAUGUCAUUGGUCUAAGUUAUGACACUAAAGUAUGAGCAUUUGGCUGCAGAAAGCCUGGGAGAGGCUGGAGAAGAGUCUAGUGCCUCCACAGUCCCAAGGGGGGCUUUGCAAUGCCCUCAUUUGUAGUGCAGCUGUGUCAUUGGGUAGGGUCUGAAAAAUGGUGAUGGCAUCCAGAUAAAAUGUCAUACAACGUGGACCAGAAUCCAGGCAGCCCUGUGUAGGAAGAGAGACAUCACAGGCUAAGACGGAGCCCAUAAACAGAAAAGAGGUUUGUACUGACAGUGGUGAUCUGAUCCUUCAUCUGCUCUGCCUCUUGUUGCUUUUUCAGUUCAAGUUCAUGUCAUUGCCCAUGAAAUUUUUGGAUCCUCUUUUCCAGUGAGAAUCUCACAAGUGAAGAAAUUUUGAUAGCGUGCGGUGGCUCACACCCACAAUCCCAGCACUUUAGGUGGGUUGAUCACUUGAGGUCAGGAGUUUAAGACCAGCCUAGCCAAUAUGGUGAAACCCUGUUUCUACUUAAAAUAUAAAAAUAGCCGGGUGUGGUAGUGCAUGCCUGUAAUCCCAGCUACUCAGGAGACUGAGGUGGAAAAAUGGCUUGAACCCGGGAGGCAGAGGUUGCAGUGAGCCGAGAUUGUACCACUGCACUCCAGCCUGGGUGACAGAGUGAGACUCCAUCUUAAAAAUAAUAUAUUUUUGCCCAUUUCCCUGUCAGAGCACUGACCCUAUGGAUCUGGACUACUGGGAUGUACAGAGUUUGAAAUGUAAAUGAGUAUCUACCAUGGGCUGGGCUCUAGGCUGCCUGUUUCCCAGGUUUUGCCUUGAAUCCUGGUGUCCUCUUUCCACUUUACAGGGACCUUGAUUGUGUUUGACGGGAGGAUGAGCUGGGUCACAGUGGCCAUGAGCCUCAGGUGACCAGGAAAUGGUGGGAUAAGUUUCUUAAAAGACCUGCUCAAAGAGAAGUACAUGCCGGACCCCUAAGAGUAGCCCCCCAAAUCCACAGACUUGAAGAUUCCGAUGGUUGAUCAAUGCCUCCAGAGAGAGAUGAUGAUGGGAUAUAGCCCAAAUAAUUCAAUUUUCUCUAGGUCAAAUUCUAUCAUUUUGGUAAAAAGCAGAUGCUACAAAAGGCAAGUCAGAAAUGUCUGAAUAAAGGUAUCCCAUGAGUAGUGAGUAGGAUCCUAGAAAGAUGGUAAUAUCAAACGUGGACACUCACCCUUCCAGGAGUGGAAGGAAUUAGAAGGCAGCAUCAGUACAGAGUUGAGACAUAUUGGAAAGCCAUAUGGUUGAAUGGUAUAUCUGCAUUUUCCUGUUGGCAACUAAAGCUCCUUGAUCUUCUAUCAAAUGCUUUUUUUUUUUUUUUUUUUUUGAGACGGGGUCUUGUUCUGUCGCCCAGGUUGGAGUGCAAUGGCACUGUCUCGGCUCACUGCAACCUCCUUCUCCCAGGUUCAAGUGAUUCUCCUGCCUCAACCUCCCGAGCAGCUGGUCUCAAACUCCUGACCUUGUGAUCCACCUGUCUUGACCUCCCAAAAUGUUGGGAUUACAGGCGUGAGCCACCACACCCAGCCUCAAAUGCUUUUUGAAUAAAAAAAAAAGUGGCUUAGGCUCCCAGAGGCCCAUCUCCAUGAAGCUGCCUUGUGCAGCUGGUCAUGCAGAUCAGGGAUUCAAAUGCAGUGAAUGAUGGGGUUGACAUUCCAGUAAUCAUAGCAGAAUCAGUCCAGACUAUCUUCUUCAGGAAGGGUACCAGCAUGCCGUUCAAGGAAGAAGCCUCUGCCUCAGUUGUUCCAAAGAAAUUCCUGAAGUGUUCAAGUUUCUGGUUUCUAGGCCUUUCACACCCAUUCAACUUCAUGUUGGUGCAAUGUCAUGAUUUUAGGGACAGUAGGAAAAGGGCCAGCCUUGGGGUACCAAUGACCAAACCUAUCCUAAAAAUACUAGUCCAUUUUUCAGUUUAAAUACCAAGCCAGGAAGUCCUGCUGGUGGCAGUAGUUGUGUUAUAGCAACGCAGCUCUCUCCUGAUACACAUAGUGAUGACUGCAGCAUAAGAGCUGUGGGGAAAGUGAUGAAGACAGUAGCCAGGAUGAGCAGAGUCUCCUGGCCAGAUGUGACAGGCAUCAGGAGGGACUUAAAUUCCAUGCAUAAAAAAACUGUGAGAACAAAUAACCCAAUUCAGCAAAGUUGGGAGAAAUAAAAUCAACACACAAAACUCAGUUGCAUUUCUACACACUAGCAAUGCACAAUCUGAAAAUGAAAUGAAGUGGAAGCAAAAGCCAGGCACAGUGGCUCACGCCUGUAAUCCCUGCAUUUUGGGAGGCUGAGGCAGGCAGAUUAUAAGAUCAGGAGUUUGAGACCAGCCUGGCCAACAUGGUGAAACCCCAUCUCUACUAAAAAUAAAGAAAUUAGCCAGGCAUGGUGGUGUGUUCCUGUAGUCCCAGCUACUUGGGAGGCUGAGGCAGGAGAAUGUUUUGAACCUAGGAGGUCUGGAGGUUGCAGUGAGCCGAGAUUGCACCACUGCAUUCCAGCCUGAGAGACAGAGCAAGACUGUUGGGGAAAAAAAAAAAAAAAAAAAGGCCAGGUGCAGUGGCUCAUGCCUAUAAUCCCAGCACUUUAGGAGGCCAAGGCAGGAGGAUCACUUGAGGUCGGGUGUUCAAGACCAGCCUGUCCAACAUGGAGAAACCCCAACUCUACUAAAAAUACAAAAUUAGCUGGGCAUGGUGGCGCAUGCUUGUAAUUCUAGCUACUCAGGAGGCUGAGGCAGGAGAAUCGCUUGAACCCAGGAGGUGGAGGUUGUGGUGAGCCGAGAUCAUGCCAUUACACUCUCUAGCCUGGGCAACGAAAACGAAACUCUGUGUCAAAAAAAAAAAAAAAAAAAGAGAGUGAGAGAGAGGAAAGUAAACAAUUCUAUUUGCAAUAGCAUCGAAAAGAAUAAAAUACUUUGAGGCUGGGCACAGUGGCUCAUGCCUGUAAACCCAGCACUUUAGGAGGCCGAGGUGGGCAGAUCACCUGAGGUCAGGAGUUUGAGACCGGCUUGGCCAACAUGGCAAAACCCCAUCUCUACUAAAAAUACAAAAAUUAGCCAUGUGUGAGUGGCAAGCGCCUGUAAUCCCAGCUACUUGGGGUGCUGAGGCAGGAGAAUCUCUUGAACCAGGAGAUGGAGGUUUGCAGUGAGCCAAGAUUGAGCCACUGCACUUCAGCCUGGGUGAUGGAGUAAGACUGUCUGAAAAUACAUAAGUAAAUAAUAAGAUAAAAUAAAAUAUUUGGGAAUAAACUUAACCCAGGAGGUGAAAGGCUGCACUAAAAACUACAAAAUGUGGCUAAAAAAAUUAAGAAGACACAAAUAAAUGAAAAGAAAACCUGUGUUCACGGAUUAGAAGACUUAAUACUGCUAAGAUGUCAAUACUACUCAAAGUGGUCUACAGAUUUAAUGUACCCUCUGUAAACUCCCAAUGGCAUGUUUUUGUAGAAGUAGAAAAAUAUAUCCUAACAUUCAUAUGGAAUCUCGAGGGACUCCAAAUACCCAGCAAUCUUAAAAAAGAACUCCCUUUUUUCAAAACUCAUUACAAAGCUACAGUAAUCAAAACUGUGGUACUGGUAUAAAGAUAAAGACAUAGACCAGUGGAAUAGAACAGAAAUCCCAGAAAUAAACCCUUGUAUAAUGGUCAAAUGAUUUUCAACAAGGGAAGCAAAAUCAUUCAAUAAGGCAAGGACAGUAUUUUCAACAACUGGGGUUGGGAAAAAUGGAUAUCUACGUGAACAAAGUUAGAUUCUUACCUUAUACCAUAUACACAAGAUUAACUGAAAAUGGAUGAGUCCUAAAUGGAAGAGCUAAAACAAUAGACAUCUUAGAAAACUGAAGGGAAAAAGACUUCAUGACUGGAUUUCUGGAUUUGGCAUUGAUUUCUUUUUUUUUUUUUUUGAGACGGAGUUUCGCUCUUGUUACCCAGGCUGGUGUGCAAUGGCGCGAUCUCGGCUCACCGCAACCUCCGCCUCCUGGGUUCAGGCAAUUCUCCUGCCUCAGCCUCCUGAGUAGCUGCGAUUACAGGCACUUGCCACCAUGCCCAGCUAAUUUUUUUUUGUAUUUUUAGUAAAGACGGGGUUUCACCAUGUUGACCAGGAUGAUCUCAAUCUCUUGACCUCGUGAUCCACCCACCUUGGCCUCCCAAAGUGCUGGGAUUACAGGCUUGAGCCACCAUGCCCGGCCCCCUUAUUUCUUAGAUAUGACAUCAAAAGCACAGGCAACACAAAGUAAAAAUAAAUAAAUUGGACUGACUACAUCAAAAUUUAAAACUUUCACAAGGAUCCAUUGGAGGGCAAAAAAAAAAAAAAAAAAAAAAAAAGAAACUUCUGUGCAUCACAGAACACAACCCACAGAAUGACAAAGCAACCUAUGGAAUGGGAGGAAAUAUUUGCAAACAAUGUAUCUAGGUAAGAUUAGCAUCCAGAAUAUAUAAAGAACUCCUACAACUAAAUAGUAACAACAGUAACAACGAAACACACCAAACCCUCUAUUUAAUAACGGGCAAAGGAUUUGUAUAGAUGUUUCUGCAAAGAAGAAAUGCAAAUGGGCAAAAAGCAUAUGAAAAGAUGCUCAAAAUGACUAACUGUUAAGGAAAUGCCAAUCAAAACUACGAGAUAUCACCCACCUCACACCGAUUAGGAUGACUGCUAUUAAAGAUACAGAAAAUCACAGCGUUGGCAAGGAUGUGGAGAAACUGGAACUCUUGCACACUGUUGGUGGGAAUGUAAAAUAGUGUCGCUGCUAUGGAAAACAGUAUGGCAGUUACUAAAAAAAUUAAAAAUAGAAUUACCAUAUGAUCUAGUAAUACCGUUUCUGGGAAUAUAUCCAAAAACAUGGAAAGCAGGGUCUUUUCAAAAAUUAAUCUAUAAUUUUAUUUCAAUUGACCAAUAAUAAUUGUAUAUAUUUAUGGGGUACAAUGUGAUGCUUUGAUAUAUGUAGACAUUGUGGAAUGAUUAAAUAGAGCUAAUUAACAUA